UAUCUCUAUUCGUUGUCCUCUGAAACCCUUUUCUCUGUUCUCAAAUUAACGCUGCCGCAAAACCUUUUCUUUCUUCUCGCUUCAAAAUCGCCAUAGUUGUUAGAUUUCAGUUCUCUUUCACGCUGGUUGUUUGAUUUCGAAUCUCUUUCGCGCUGGUUGUUUGAUUUCAAUUCUCUUUUGCGCUGGUUGUUAGAUUUCGAUUCUCUUUCGCGCUGGGCUGUUUUGUAACGUCAUUACAUCAAAAUAGAGAGGAGGAUACAGGUUUUACUGAAUGAUUGUACGGUACUCUUUUUGAAGGGGGUUUCUGCACCUUCUUUGACUACAGGAUCUUGAAAGUGAUGGAGGUUUUUGACAAACGAAAUGUUGAUUGUACAAGUUAAGAGUUGAGGCAUGGAGAAUGGGAUGACACUUUGAUGUACUUGGUAGGACAAGGAACCUACGACAAUGUUUAUAAAGUUCGAGAUUGAGACACAAGAGAUAUCAUGGCUCUUAAACAGAUCUAGUUUAGUACAUCAAAGGGUGUUAAUAUUAAAAUUUUGGACUUACCAAUUAUUAUUGUACAAAUAAAAAAGAACGUCUAACAAACUAGGUUGUGAUGCUUUUGUACCCAUCUCAUGAGUUGUUUUUAGGUUCACUAUACUAUAUAGUUGUUUAUUGUGGAAUAGGUGUUAGAUGCAAGUUAUUGUAAAAUCCUUAAGAUGCAAGUUAUUGUAGUUGUAAAAUCCUUAAAACUAACUUAUCAUGUUAAAGGUUUUUUGCAGCAACUUUGUUAAAUUUGUUAUUUUA